AACGAACGCUGGCGGCAUGCCUAACACAUGCAAGUCGAACGAGAUCUUCGGGUCUAGUGGCGCACGGGUGCGUAACGCGUGGGAAUCUGCCCUUUGGUUCGGAAUAACAGUUGGAAACGACUGCUAAUACCGGAUGAUGACGAAAGUCCAAAGAUUUAUCGCCAGAGGAUGAGCCCGCGUAGGAUUAGCUAGUUGGUGUGGUAAAGGCGAACCAAGGCGACGAUCCUUAGCUGGUCUGAGAGGAUGAUCAGCCACACUGGGACUGAGACACGGCCCAGACGCCUACGGGAGGCAGCAGUGGGGAAGAUUGGACAAUGGGCGAAAGCCUGAUCCAGCAAUGCCGCGUGAGUGAUGAAGGCCUUAGGGUUGUAAAGCUCUUUUACCCGGGAUGAUAAUGACAGUACCGUGAGAAUAAGCUCCGGCUAACUCCGUGCCAGCAGCCGCCGUAA
rnacentral:rRNA from 1 species